UCAAGCUAUAAAGAGCGCAAGGGGAAUGCCUUGGCAUCAGGAGCCGAAGAAGGACGUGACAAGCUGCGAUAAGCCACGGGGAGGAGCAAAUAUCCGCUAUAUCCGUGGAUUUCCGAAUGGGGGAACCCGCUUGAGCAAUACUCAAGCAUCGUGCAUUGAAUCAAAUAGGUGUACGAGGGGAACGGUCUGAACUGAAACAUCUAAGUAGGACCAGGAAAAGACAUCAACCGAGAUUCCGCAAGUAGUGGCGAGCGAACGCGGAGGAGGCCAAACCGGAGGAUUUAUUCUCCGGGGUUGCGGACAGACAUCACGAUCAGAGGAAGCUAGGAGAACGGCAUGGGAAGGCCGGCUAGAAAGGGUGAGAGCCCCGUAUCCGAAAGCAGGAGCUGACAGUCUGGAUCCAGAGUACCGCGGGACACGUGAAACCCCGUGGGAAACCGGGUGGACCACCAUCCAAGCCUAAAUACUACCUGAUGACCGAUAGAGGAGCAGUACCGUGAGGGAAAGGUGAAAAGGACCCCGGGAGGGGAGUGAAAGAGAACCUGAAACCUUGUGCUUACAAGCAGUCAAAGCACGUUAAGGUGUGAUGACGUACUUUUUGUAGAACGGUCCGGCGAGUUAUAGUAACGAGCAAGCUUAAGGUAUUCAGUACCGGAGGCGAAGCGAGAGCGAGUCUGAAUAGGGCGUAAAAAGUUCGUUGCCAUAGACCCGAAACCGGGUGACCUAACCAUGAGCAGGCUGAAGUGAGAGUAAAAUCUCAUGGAGGGCCGAACGCACGUUCGUUGCAAUGACCGGCGAUGACUUGUGGUUAGCGGAGAAAUUCCAAUCGAACUCGGAGAUAGCUGGUUCUCCCCGAAAUAGCUUUAGGGCUAGCGUUAUCUUAGAUUACCGGAGGUAAAGCACUGAAUGGGCUAGGGGGCGAUAAGCUUACUGAACCCUAUCAAACUCUGAAUGCCGGCUAAUUGAUGAUCAGCAGUCAGACAGUGUGAGAUAAGUUUCAUUGUCAAAAGGGAAACAGCCCAGACCCACAGCUAAGGUCCCAAAGUACAGUUAAGUGGAAAAGGAUGUGGAAUUGCAUAGACAACCAGGAUGUUGGCUUAGAAGCAGCCACUCAUUAAAAGAGUGCGUAAUAGCUCACUGGUCGAGUGACUCUGCGCCGAAAAUUUAACGGGGCUAAACUAUACACCGAAGCUUGGGAUACAUCUAAUGUAUGGUAGGAGAGCGUUCUGUAUGGGGAGAAGUCGUAGCGAAAGCGGCGGUGGACUAUACAGAAGUGAGAAUGCCGGAAUAAGUAGCGAGAAUUAAGUGAGAAUCUUGAUGGCCGAAAGUCUAAGGUUUUUGGAGGAAGGUUCGUCCGCUCCAAGUAAGUCGGGAGCUAAGGUCAGGCCGAAAGGCGUAGCCGAUGCACAUACGGUUGAUAUUCCGUAACCAUCUGUAAUUUAAGCAAAGGGACACUUCAAAAGGGUGUGACCCGGGCGUUGGUUGACCCGGGCGUAAGGGACCGAAAUUAGAGUAGGGAAGCACACUUAGCUGAAGGCGAGAAAAGCUUUGCGUAUAGAAACAGAUGCCCGUACCGCAAACCGACACAGGUGGACAGGAAGAGAAUUCUAAGGCCAGCGGGAGAAGGGUAGUUAAGGAACUCGGCAAAUUGACUCCGUAACUUCGGAAUAAGGAGUGCUCGAAAGAGCCGCAGAGAAUAGGCCCAGGCGACUGUUUAGCAAAAACACAGGUCUCUGCCAAAUCGAAAGAUGAAGUAUAGGGGCUGACACCUGCCCGGUGCCGGAAGGUUAAGAGGAGGAGUGAGAGCUCCGAAUUGAAGCCCCGGUAAACGGCGGCCGUAACUAUAACGGUCCUAAGGUAGCGAAAUUCCUUGUCGGGUAAGUUCCGACCCGCACGAAUGGUGUAACGACUUGGGAGCUGUCUCAACAAGUGGCCCGGUGAAAUUGAAGUAUGUGUGAAGAUGCACAUUACCCGCGACUGGACGGAAAGACCCCGUAGAGCUUUACUGCAGCCUGAUAUUGGAUUUUGGCAACAAAUGUACAGAAUAGGUGGGAGCCGGAGAAAGCAGAACGCCAGUUUUGCCGGAGGCGCCGUUGGGAUACCACUCUUUUGUUGCCGGAGUUCUAACUUGAAACAGUAAUCCUGGUCAGGGACAGUGUCAGGUGGGCAGUUUGACUGGGGCGGUCGCCUCCUAAAAGGUAACGGAGGCGCUCAAAGGUAUCCUCAGAAUGGAUGGAAACCAUUCGAAGAGCGUAAAGGCAGAAGGAUGCCUGACUGCGAGACUGACAAGUCGAGCAGAGAGGAAACUCGGACUUAGUGACCCGGCGGUAUGAGAGUGGAAUUGCCGUCGCUCAACGG
rnacentral:rRNA from 1 species